rnacentral:lncRNA from 1 species
AUUCCUUUCUGAGCCUGCCUGGCCAGUCUCUGGCUUUACCUCCUGGUAUGUUGGUGUCACAAAGGGAUCUUCAUGACUUCACUGCCCUUCCCUCAGGUACUUGAGUCCGGGAACUGACUCUCAACCUGCCUUUGCCUACCUCUCAGUCUCAGAGGAACCCCUUCGUUGAGUUUUUUCCUCCUUUUGGCUCUUGCGUUUCUCUCACCCCAUCUCACCUCCGCCUGUCCAUCAUGAGCCUAUUCUAUUCCCUGUCCUAAGUUUGCACAAGAGACAAACCUGAGGCUCAGAUUGGGUAACACGGCCACAGGUUGACAGCCCAGAUGUGAUGAGCAGGAACAGAGAGAGCAGAGUCCCCAGGUGAAUGGUCAGGCCUUGGGGACUUCAACAAAGAAAGGACUCCCACGUCCCUCCCCGGCUAACCUGGAUCCUGCUCAACCCAACACCUGCCUUCUCUCGGUCCCUGGGUUCCCGCAGGCCUUGGGGCCCCACAGUCAUAUCUGCUGUUCCUGCAGCAGAGAGGUUGUACUGGGUUGAGAGAGAGGCCUCAGAAUCAAGACCUUGUCUCCUGCCACAGUUUCCCUGGUGAAGCUCCCAGGCUGAGCACAAACUUCCAGGUCGAGCACAGAAGUUUCGACCUGGAAACUUCAGCCCUCAGAGAGGAGGUGGCACUAACGCUCUAGGUGGGCGGCUGCUCUAUGGUCUUCUGCUGCCUGGAGAGCUUUGCCUCCAUCACUGGUGCCCACCUGGGGAAUGCUCAGGAACUACUCUUCAAAAG